AUUGAACGCUGGCGGCAGGCCUAACACAUGCAAGUCGAGCGAGCGGCGGACGUGUGUGUAAUGUCUGGGAAACUGCUAGAUGGAGGGGGAUAACUACUGGAAACGGUAGCUAAUACCGCAUACCAUCCGAUGAGCCCAGAUGGGUUUAGCUAGUAGGUGGGGUAAUGGCUCACCUAGGCGACGCUCCCUAGCUGGUCUGAGAGGAUGACCAGCCACACUGGAACUGAGACACGGUCCAGACUCCUACGGGAGGCAGCAGUGGGGAAUAUUGCACAAUGGGCGCAAGCCUGAUACAGCCAUGCCGCGUGUGUGAAGAAGGCCUUCGGGUUGUAAAGCACUUUCAGCGAGGAGGCGUUACUCGCAGAAGAAGCACCGGCUAACUCCGUGCCAGCAGCCGCGGUAAUUC
rnacentral:rRNA from 1 species